rnacentral:sRNA from 1 species
CAAAAGUAAUGGGAAGGAGACAGUGGUAGGGAGACUCAACGAGACUCACAUCUUCAACGGAAGUAAUUGGAUCAUGCUGAUCUAUAAAGGGGGUGAUGAAUAUGACAACCACUGUGGCAAGGAGCAGCGUCGUGCAGUGGUGAUGAUCUCCUGCAAUCGACACACCCUAGCGGACAAUUUUAACCCUGUGUCUGAGGAGCGUGGCAAAGUCCAAGAUUGUUUCUACCUCUUUGAGAUGGAUAGCAGCCUGGCCUGUUCACCAGAGAUCUCCCACCUCAGUGUGGGUUCUAUCUUACUUGUCACGUGAGUAUGCCUUCCUUUAUCAGAACAGACCUUCCUUCCUUUUGUUUUUAAGGUCAGUAACUAUAUGGUGGUACAUAAGCACAAAUUGUAUGUGUGUACGUUAUGCUGUAA